rnacentral:rRNA from 1 species
AUUGAACGCUGGCGGCAUGCCUUACACAUGCAAGUCGAACGGCAGCACGGGAGCAAUCCUGGUGGCGAGUGGCGAACGGGUGAGUAAAGUAUCGGAACGUGCCCAGUCGUGGGGGAUAACGUAGCGAAAGUUACGCUAAUACCGCAUACGAUCUAUGGAUGAAAGCGGGGGAUCGCAAGACCUCGCGCGAUUGGAGCGGCCGAUAUCAGAUUAGGUAGUUGGUGGGGUAAAGGCUCACCAAGCCGACGAUCUGUAGCUGGUCUGAGAGGACGACCAGCCACACUGGGACUGAGACACGGCCCAGACGCCUACGGGAGGCAGCAGUGGGGAAUUUUGGACAAUGGGCGAAAGCCUGAUCCAGCCAUGCCGCGUGCAGGAUGAAGGCCUUCGGGUUGUAAACUGCUUUUGUACGGAACGAAAAGGUUUGGCCUAAUAAGCUGAGCUCAUGACGGUACCGUAAGAAUAAGCACCGGCUAACUACGUGCCAGCAGCCGCGGUAA